ensembl:lncRNA LINC02005 long intergenic non-protein coding RNA 2005
AAGCAGACUACUAUUGCCACAGAUCCUCUUUGAAUACGUCUCACGAGAUCCGAUGGGUUUAUCAGGAGUUUCUGCCUUUGCUUCUUCCUCAUUCUCUCUUGCUGCCACCAUAUAAGAAGUGUCUUUCACCUCUCGCCAUGAUUCUGAGGCCUCCCCAGCCAUGCGGAACUGAUACCCCAUGGUUCUCCUACCACCAGAUGCUACUGAGGCUAAACUGACUGGACUGAGGAAAAAUAUCUGUGGGGAAAACUUUCUUUCAGAAUCCAACUUUGAACCAGAGAAAUCCAUUCUCUUGAAGCUGUCUGCUGUGGAGAAGUUGGCCUUACCAAUCUGCCUUUGAAGUUCAAGUUAUACAGGAUCUGCGAGGCUACCUGUGAAUGAAUGGUUGGUUGGUCACUACUUGCAAGUUUUUCAGGAGCUCCUGAAAGAUUACUGCAUAAAUAAGGGAAGAUGGAGACCAGACCUCUGGCUACUGUUGCUGCCACCACUACAGAUACCACCUUCACCCUUAUGAACCCCCUAUUUACUGAACAUUCUCUAUAUGCCAGGUAACAUGCCCUGCACUUGUGAAAUAAGGACUGUUAUUUCCCCUAUUUUAUAAAAGAGGAGCUGAGGCUCAGAGAGAUUAUGUUACUUGCCCAAGAUCAGAUAGCUAGUAAGUGGCAGAGAUGAGAUUCUGUCUGAGUCCAGCUUACACCAUAACUGAUAUUCUUGACAAUCGGGCUGGAUAGAAAAGGAUAAGAUAUGAGAAUUUUGGUGCUAUGAUUUGAAUUUUCCUUCCAAAGCUCAUGUUGAAACUUAAUCCCCAAAGUAACAGUACUGAUAGGUGGGGUCUUUAACAUGGAGUCCCAGAAUUGGAUCGUGAGGGCUCUGCCCUGAUAAAUGAAUUAUUCCACUCAUGAUUAAUGGAUUAAUAGAUCAUCAUGGGAGUGGAACAGUGGCUUUAUAAGAAGAGGAAGAGAGACCUGAGGUAGAACACUCAGCGCCCUUGCCAUGUGAUGCUCUGUACUGCCUUGGGACUCUGCAGAGUCUCUCUACCAGCAAGAAGGUCCUCACCAGAUGCAGUCCCUUGACCUUGGCCUUCUUAGCUUCUACAACUGUCAUAAAUAAUUUUUUCUUUAUAAAUUACCCAGUUUUGGGAGUUCUAUUAUAAGCAAUAAAAACCAGUCAA